CCUACGGGCGGCAGCAGUGAGGAAUAUUGGUCAAUGGUCGGGAGACUGAACCAGCCAAGCCGCGUGAGGGAGGAAGGUACAGAGUAUCGUAAACCUCUUUUGUCAGGGAACAAAGGCGGGGACGUGUCCCCGGAUGAGUGUACCUGAAGAAAAAGCAUCGGCUAACUCCGUGCCAGCAGCCGCGGUAAUACGGAGGAUGCGAGCGUUAUCCGGAUUUAUUGGGUUUAAAGGGUGCGCAGGCGGGCUGUUAAGUCAGCGGUAAAAGCCCGGGGUCAACCCCGGCCCGCCGUUGAAACUGGCAGUCUCGAGUAGGAGAGAAGUAUGCGGAAGGCGCGGUGUAGCGGUGAAAUGCAGAGAUAUCGCGCAGAACUCCGAUUGCGAAGGCAGCAUGCCGGCUCCACACUGACGCUGAGGCACGAAAGCGUGGGUAUCGAACAGGAGUAGAUACCCGUGUAGUC
rnacentral:rRNA from 1 species